rnacentral:rRNA from 1 species
GAUGAACGCUGGCGGCGUGCCUAAUACAUGCAAGUCGAACGCAGUGGGGACGGGUGAGUAACACGUGGGUAACCUCCCAUCAGAGGGGAUAACACUUGGAAACAGGUGCUAAACCGAUACUGAUGGAUGGACCCGCGGUGCAUUAGCUAGUUGGUGAGGUAACGGCUCACAAAGGCCACGAUGCCUAGCCGACUUAGGAGGGUGAUCGCACACACCGGGCCGGCGACACGGCCCAGACUCCUACGUGAGGCAGCAGUAGGGAAUCUUCGGCAAUGGAAGAAAGUCUGACCGAGCAACGCCUCGUGAGUGAAGAAGGUUUUCGGAUCGUAAAACUCUGUUGUUAGAGAAGCGGUAUCUAACCAGAAAGCCACGGCUAACUACGUGCCAGCAGCCGCGGUAAUUC